rnacentral:rRNA from 1 species
AGAUUGAACGCUAGCGGGAUGCUUUACACAUGCAAGUCGAACGGCAGCGCGGACUUCGGUCUGGCGGCGAGUGGCGAACGGGUGAGUAAUAUAUCGGAACGUGCCCAGUAGCGAGGGAUAACUACGCGAAAGCGUGGCUAAUACCGCAUACGCCCUACGGGGGAAAGGGGGGGAUUCUUCGGAACCUCUCACUAUUGGGAGCGGCCGAUAUCAGAUUAGCUAGUUGGUG